rnacentral:tRNA from 1 species
GCCUCUGUGGCGCAGCGGUAGUGCGCGCGUCUGCGACCCCGGAGGUCCCGGGUUCGAAUCCCGGCCAGGGCA